UACGUAGGUGGCAAGCGUUGUCCGGAUUUAUUGGGUUUAAAGGGUGCGUAGGCGGCUUUGUAAGUCAGUGGUGAAAUAUGGCAGCUUAACUGUCAGGGUGCCAUAGAUACUGCGGAGCUUGAGUACAGAUGAGGUAGGCGGAAUUGACGGUGUAGCGGUGAAAUGCUUAGAUAUCGUCAAGAACACCUAUAGCGAAGGCAGCUUACUAGGCUGUAACUGACGCUGAGGCACGAAAGUGUGGGGAUCAAACAGG
rnacentral:rRNA from 1 species